GCAGCGUCCCCAAGAGCAGCCACAACCCCAAGAAGGCACCCAAGAGCAGCACCAUUUCAAAGAGAGGAAACAUUCCCAAGAGUGCCCCCAUGAGCGGCGCCAUUCCAAAAAGUCGCUGCUUCCCCAAGAGCAGCCACAGUGCAAUUCCCAAAAGUCACAGCAUCCCCAGAGGCAGCCAUGGACCCAAGAGGGACCCGAAUAGGGGCGUCAUUCCAAAGAGCAGAAACAUUCCCAAGAGUGCCCCAAAGAGUGGCACAUUCCAAAGAGCAGCCACACUCACAAGAGCAUCCCCCAGAGCAGCUCCACUCCAAAAAUCCACAGCAGCCUCAGCCCCAAGAACACCCCCAUGGUCAGCCACAAUCCCAAGAGGGGCACCAUGCCAAAGAGUCGCAGCAUCACCAAGAGCAGCCACAGCCCCAAAAGGGCCCCGAAGAGCGGCGCCAUUCCAAAGAGAGGGCACAUUUCCAAGAGCAGCUCCAUUCCAAAGAGGGGCCACUCUCCCAAGAGCGGCGCUAUUCCAAAGAGAGGCCAUACUCCCAAGAGCAAGACCAAGAGCGGCACCAUUCCAAAGAUCGGCCACACUCCCAAGAGCACCCCCAAAUGGGUUGCCAUUCCAAAAAGCUACAGCUUUCCCAAGAGCAGCCACAGCCCCAAGAGGGCCCCUAGGACAGGUACCAUUCCAAGGAGCUGCGCCAUUCCAAGAAGUCUCAGCAUCCCCAAGAGCAGCCAAGGCACCAUUCCAAAAAGUCACAGCAUCCCCAAGAGCAGCCACAGCCCCAAGAACUCCCCCAAGAACGAUGUCAUUCCAAAAUGUUGCACAAUCCCCAAGAGCAGCCACCCUCCGAAGAGCACCACCAAGAGCUGCGCCAUUCCAAAAAUCUGCAGCUUCCCCAAGAACAGCCACAGCCCAAAUGGCCCCCAAGAGUGGCGCCAUUCCAAAGAUCGGCCACACUCCCAAGAGCAUCCCGAAGAGCGGCACCAUUCCAAAAAGUCGCAGCGUCCCCAAGAGGGCCCCCAAGUCUUGA
rnacentral:lncRNA from 1 species